AUGUCACCAGGGCAUUUAUAUCUAUCAGUUUUGAUUAUGCUUAUGAAUAGGCAGCUUUGUCUUAGAAAAGAAUCUUUAAAAGUCACUUUAAAUUAAUGUUGUUGCCUAAAAAGAAAGUGCAUCUUAAUGAAUGACAGCUGCAAUCCCUAAUUACUGAAUUUUUUGCUAAAAUGUUGGGAAUCUGGGUGAUUAGCUUUUAGAGUGGUGAUAGAGCUCUUAUGAUUCUGAUUGCCUCUGGACAAAGGAUGCAAUCUUCAGGUUCUGUUAAGUGGAUGCAAAAAAGUACAUUGCUUAAAGCCUCCAUAACUACAUAAAGGGUUCAUUGCAUGUGCUAUUUGUUUAAAAAGAGUAAUUUUGCUGAUUUCUUCCCAUAGAGGUUUUAAAAAAAUUGCUCUUUGGCAAUUUAUUGUUCAGAAAGCUAAAGAGCAAUUUUUUGAAUUUAGAAUAUUUAUUUGGAGAACUGCUGCUCCUAAUGUACUGUUUUUCUCCAGGUCAUUAGAUAUAAGCCCAGAAACUCCUCCCUGUCAACCCGAGUUGAUGUGCCAGUAGUGUUAUAUAUUGCUGUUAGAGCAUCACUGAAGACGUAAACUUAUGUUGCUGAAGAUUGACAACAAGUAAUGUGAAGUUUCUGACGUACUUCUGACAAAGCUUGGAAACAGGUUCAGUACAAUUAUAUGAAACUGGAAGAAUGUUCCCAGCUUCCAUCCCCAAGUAGAAGAAAGAAAGAGAUGAGAAACUCGCCAGAUCCAACCAAGUUCUUUCCUAUCAAGCACUGAAAAGGGUUCCUCUCCAGUUUAACUUGGCUAAGCAAGUCCAUGGAUGCUUGGAUGGCUUUCCCCGCUGGGGAGGACACCACCUACACCAGCCUCAGGUUUACCUACAGAGCUGUGUAUUUAACAUUCUUCAUCCUGAGAUAUUAAUGGGAAGGAUGUCAGCAUCCACUCAGCAUAGUUUUGCCAUCCAGCAUCUCAGCUCUUGUUACGGUUAAUGGAAAGGCCAAACAUGAAAGGUCCAGCCCUCAAGGAUAGAGCAGAAGAUACCUGUAUGCCUACUGUUCCUGAUACCUCUGCAAAGGUGAAUGAUUGAUGCUGAUUACAUGGAAAUGAAUCUCAACCCAGAAGAAUGAAAAAAAAACCACACCAUUCUAUUUUCUGAAGGUCACCAAACAAUCAAGAGCAAAUACUGAACUUCACUUCUCUCCAAGGCAGAAUGGAUACAAAAUUAGAAAGCUGCCUGCAGCAGGUGAAAGGGAAACAGCAGGAAUCUGACUAGAGGGACCCCCUCUGGGUCCCCAGUGUACCACUGUGUGUAGCUCUGCCCAGGAGCCAUCACCCAAGUACAAAGGCACAGCAAGGAGCAAGCACUACCUGCUCCCUGCUGGUGAGCCUUUCCUUCACAUGCCAUGUGUAAGGGACUGAUACAGUUGUAUUACGCUUCACAACUUCCUUAAUGUAAAUCCUCACUAGGCUUCUGGGGAGAAAGAAGCAGCUAAAAUGACUUCUUGUUAAUGAAAUAUGCAAUACCAGAGGUACCUUGGAAGGAGAUGAUGUGCUUUGGUUCUUUCUUCCUGAGAUGAAAGAGGCAGAAGUUCAAUAUCACCAAUAAUUUUGUGUAAAUUACUCUCUGAUUGUUUUAGUUUCACACAGCUCAAUGUUACUUAUUUUCCUUCCGUUCUUGUUGGAUUUUUCAGCUAUUUUCAGUAGAUAAAGGAUGUCUCACUGCAAAGAAAUGGAAGAUACUCUCCACUAAAUUUAUUUUGGGCAGUAGAUAAGAGAAAUCCAUGAAAAUCAUUCCAGAGGCAGACUACCUUGAAAUCUGUGUGACAGGAAUAAUGAAAUGACUUCAUCAAAAACUCUUCACAAAUCAGGAUCUGUCCAUUGCUAGACAGAGAAAAACAGAGCUAGCAAUUAACACUGUAAUAUGUUAUCUGUUUCUCCUUAAAAUUUAAAGAGAUCUGUGGAAGCAUAUUGCCAGGACCAUGUUUUCUGCUUUGGUUAUAAUCUAGGUCCUUGCAAACUUUCAUUUCAAAUGGAGAUGGUGAAAAUUGUCAUUUAGGGCUUUUUGUGAACAGAUUUUUUCGUCAAACCUUCUUUAAGAAGUGCUUUUAUUAUUGUGGUGUCUUGUAAAACUGAAAAGAAAAAAAGAAGUAUAAAACAUAAAGAAGAAGAAAUAUUAAAAAAAAAGAAUAAAUUAAAAGACUAUAAUUUUGAAAGGUGCUAA
rnacentral:lncRNA from 1 species